CCUUAUUCAUUGUCCUUUAAAUUUGGUAGAAAAACGUUGGUUAAAUCAAAACAGAUUCAUUUUUAUGUGUUUUUGGUUGGAUCUGAACAUGAACCUGUCGUUGUAUAAAGAAGCAACUGAAUUUGUCAAAGCCAAAACGCCAGGCUAAAAACGUCUUAUUCCAAAGCUUUUUUGCUACCAUAUAUUCAUGAGAAAAAAACAUGUAAAUUUACUGAAACUGCUUUUUGUGUGUUUCUUGCCGGUUUUCUCGAGUUUUCGUACUCGAUCGUAUUUUAUAUCUUUCAACAUUUCAAUUUGUGUCAGCCUCGCUUUAAAAAUACACAUGAACUGCACUGAUCUCAAAUUAGUUCGCAAGCAACAUUGGAAUUCUAAUGAAUUUCAGUUUUACAUCUGAUAAAAAAUAAACACGUUAUUUACCGGCAGCGUCAGUCCGGAUGAGAAAAACUGUGCCCUCGGUCUUGAAAACGUCCCUCAACCUUCGGGCUCAGGCCGUUUUCAAGGCCUCGGGCACAGUUUUUCUCAUCCGGACUUCGCACCCGG